AGGGACCGUGACUCCACCACCUCCCCGGGCGGCCCAUUCCGAGCCUUAAUCACCUUUUCUGCGAAGAAAUUCUUCCCAAUGUCCAACCUCAGCCUUCUCUUGCUUGGGACUGUGGCCUCUUGUCCUGUCGCUGGUGGCCUGGGAGGAGAGGCCGACCCCACCCGGCCACAGCCUCGUGUAGGAGCGAUAAGGUCACCCCAGAGCCUGUGUUCCUCCAGAGGCUCUAGGUACACACACACACUGCUAUAAAUGAAUGCUCCAAUUUGUUAAUUAAAGAAAAUUUAUUAAAUGGUCCAAAUAUAAAUUUAGAGAAUAACAACGAGAAGCCACUAUCCAAUCAAAAAGGGUCAGUGCCGAGCCCGGGUAUCGGCGCUGACCACUACAGCACAGAGUCCCCUGUGUUUCACACCGACUGUCCUGUCCGAGCGAUUUUUAUACGGUUUUUCUUGCCCGAGGCAGAGUCCCUUUUGUUCCUUUUUGGACUGCACAUAUUCGUGUGGAGUUCUUUCUCUGUGGCAAGUUGAACAAAACAUGUCCGGAGAGUGAUGAGCACCCAUGAUGGCGUUCCCGGAAUCCGGCAUUGAGAUGUAUCUCCCCGAUGGCUCCGGCUGUCUCAAUCUCAGAUAUUUAUCGCGUAUUCAUCGUCUGGUAGUUCCUCGGAUCACCUUGAGUGGCGAUCAUUCUCCGGGCUGGCCACGUUCAUUCGAUUGUAACUGAGGCUCUCCCUCCCUUGUCCAGGUGGUUUCGACACUGUGUUGCAAUCCCCGUCACUGACUUGUGCGUUUAAAACUUUUUACAAGAGUAUAUCUUAACAAUACAUAACUGUAAAAUAUACAACAAUUUUCUUUGCACGAAUUAUCAUACACACAUAUAACACACACCGCGUUUAAACACGCAGUGGUUUGGCUGGGAAAGGCUUAAAACAUAGAACGUUUCACGUUUCAGAGAGGUUCGUGGAAUGAAAAUACCUCGAACGCGUUUAAGGGUAAUUAUAAUUAAUCUGCUAAUUUAAUCAGCAACAGAAGGCUUUUGUGAAGCAGGGGGAAUUAUAUUGUUAAUGCAGCGUUUCUCUGACGCUCUGAAUCCUGUUACAAUAGCUGAAGAUAAUCGUGGAUGACUAUUAAUGAGUCUGUGUGACUAUUAAUGAGGCUCUAUUACUUCGCCUCCUGGUGGCUGUUCUCUUUUUUCAGCUUAGUGUCAGAAGCGCAGAGUGAAGCUUGUGCUGACCCGGCAGGACAGAAGGAGAAGCCAGAGGGAACAGGAAAUAGGAAGUUUCCAGGACCAGAAGCACUAAUCAGUAUGCAGUUGUGAGUCCAUAAAAUUCACUUAACUUGAAUGCAAGAUCAGAUGAGAGGACUCAAAGGAAUACCAAGUUUGCUGAUGUCACUAAAUUGGGAUGAGCUGUUCACUCCCUCGAGGCCAGAGAGGCCCUGCAGAGAGACCUUGAUGAAUUAGAGAGCUGGGCAGUCACCAACCGUGUGAAGUUCAACAAGGGCAAGUGGCAAAUUCUGCACCUGGGAUGGUGCAGCCCUGGAUGUAGAGACUGGGGAAUGAGAGGCUGGAGAGCAGUGCCAUGGAAAGGGACCUGGGGAUCCUGGUCCAUGGCAAGUUGAACAUGAGCCAGCAGUGCCCUGGCAGCCAGGAGGGCCACCCGUGUCCUGGGGGGCAUCAGGGACAGCAUCCCCAGCCGGGCAAGG